CGCGUAGGCGGGAUGGCAAGUCGGUCGUGAAAUCCUUCGGCUCAACCGAAGAACGUCGAUCGAUACUGCUGUUCUUGAGGGUUGCAGAGGAGACUGGAAUUCCCGGUGUAGCGGUGAAAUGUGUAGAGAUCGGGAGGAACACCGGUGGCGAAGGCGGGUCUCUGGGCAAUUCCUGACGCUGAGGCGCGAAAGCGUGGGGAGCAAACGGGAUUAGAUACCCCGGUAGUCCACGCUGUAAACGAUGACGACUAGGUGUGGGGGGGUUCAGUCCCUUCCGUGCCGCAGCUAACGCAUUAAGUCGUCCGCCUGGGGAGUACGGCCGCAAGGUUGAA
rnacentral:rRNA from 1 species